GACGAACGCUGGCGGCGUGCUUAACACAUGCAAGUCGAACGGUAAGGCCCUUCGGGGUACACGAGUGGCGAACGGGUGAGUAACACGUGGGUGAUCUGCCCUGCACUUCGGGAUAAGCCUGGGAAACUGGGUCUAAUACCGGAUAGGACUCCUGGCUUCAUGGUUGGGGGUGGAAGGCUUUUGCGGUGUGGGAUGGGCCGGCGGCCUAUCAGCUUGUUGGUGGGGUAAUGGCCUACCAAGGCGACGGCGGGUUGCCGGCCUGAGAGGGGGGCCGGUAACACUGGGACUGAGAGACGGCCAAGACUCCUACUGGAGGCAGCAGUGGGGAAUAGUGCACAAUGGGCGCAAGCAUGAUGCAGGGACGCCGCGUGGGGGAUGACGGUCUUCGGGGUGUAAACCUCUUUCAGCUAUGACGAAGCGCAAGUGACGGUAGUAGCAGAAGAAGGACCGGCCAACUACGUGCCAGCCGCCGCAGUAA
rnacentral:rRNA from 1 species